AUUGAACGCUGGCGGCAGGCCUAACACAUGCAAGUCGAACGAGUGGCGGACGGGUGAGUAAUGUCUGGGCAACUGCCUGAUGGAGGGGGAUAACUACUGGAAACGGUAGCUAAUACCGCAUACCAUCAGAUGUGCCCAGCUGGGCUUAGCUAGUUGGUGGGGUAACGGCUCACCAAGGCGACGAUCCCUAGCUGGUCUGAGAGGCUGACCGGCCACACUGGGACUGAGACACGGCCCAGACUCCUACGGGAGGCAGCAGUGGGGAAUAUUGCACAAUGGGCGCAAGCCUGAUGCAGCCAUGCCGCGUGUGUGAAGAAGGCCUUCGGGUUGUAAAGUACUUUCAGCGGGGAGGCGUUACCCGCAGAAGAAGCACCGGCUAACUCCGUGCCAGCCGCCGCGGUAAUAC
rnacentral:rRNA from 1 species